UUAUUCACAUUUCAGAAGAGAUAGGGUUGUGUUCUGACUUGAAGCAGUCGGGAAAAGUUUAUUUAUUUAUUUGUCAUUUGCAAGUCUGCAAUUUAUUAAGCACUUAAACCUUGGUUUUGUUUCUUGAUUUCUGUGAAUUGUGUAAUUUGUCUUCCAGCUAAGUGAAUUUUCUAUUUUCAUCUCGUUCUGUGCUUGUCUUUUUUUUUUUUUUUGCUUUAACUGGGGCUGUGCAGAUUUUUUAGGCACGCUGUAAAAUUCACUUCCUCCUUCCAAAUACUGUAUCGCUUCAAAGGUUAGGGUUAAUGUUGCCAAAUGUAAUAAGAUUCAUUUUAAACACUUCAUCACAUCAUUUGAGGGGUUAUAAAAAGUUAAAAUGCGUUGCAGGCUUUGCCUUCUGGUGCAAGAUAUCUGUGGGAUGUUCAGUGAAGUCCAGCUCCAUGCCUUCUGCUCCUCUAAAGAGAAGCUCCAGCAGAAUGGAAUGGGAUUGCAGUUUCCAUUGGGUUGCCCUUUUUAACAUCUGAGUCAAAAAAGUCUUAUAGCAAGGAAGCCAGCCAUCUGGAUAGGUCUGGAAGAAAUGAGCCUCUCAACAGAAGAAGCGAAGGAAGUGGAAGUCUGAGUCCCAGUCCUGUGUUAUAAAACAUUCUGACAAUGCAGAAAAUAAUAAAAUAAAAUAGCACAAAUAUAAAAUUGUCAGUUGUGUUUUCUUGGCAUUUUGUAAUAUAGGCUUCUGUAGGUGUCUCUGUAUUACUUAAACCUUGACACAAACAUAUUAAUGUUAUCUCAGUUUUGACCUAGAAGGGACAAUUGUACGUUUACACUCUUUAAAUACCCUGUAUAAGACUAUUUGUAAAUACUCUGAAGCAAGACAGCUUUAAAUAGGGAUGUAGCUUGGAGGUUUUAAAACAACCUCUUUAUUGUAAACCUACCUCAAGGUUGUCUUUAUUAUUGCUUUGCACUUCCACAGUUGAGCUAAUCUGAUUUUGCAGUAUAAAUUAUUAUUUUAAAGCCUUAAUAUGCCAGUAGUUUGGGUUUAUGGGUUACCUCCAUGUGCUGCAAAGGAGUUAACACCUCAUUCACAAAUAUUUGCAUUCAUGUUAACCUGUUGCACCUGAAAACUGAAUCUCCAUAUCUAUUGUAUGAAUGUCUUGGGUCAAUCCAGAUGCAGUGAGGAAGGAUCAGCACUGGUCACUCUUGUUAGUGUGGGGGUUAAGAGUCAGGAUCCCUGCACCUUUUCUUUGAUAGAUUACCAUUCGAUCACAGAGAGCAUUGGCAGGCACUGGCUGUCAGUGUGUGGUUCUUUUUUUGCUGAUCUCUGGUAAGCUCAGCUACAUGUGCAGUCCAUGGAAAGAAGGAAAGCAAAACCACAACCCAUGAAUGUUACAUGUGUUUGUUAAAUAUAUGAAUUUCAGUUUGGGAACUGUUUUGUGAAAAAUAUGAAUCUUCUUACAACAUUGUAAAACAGACAAUUACAUUUCUAUGUUUUGAAGUCUCAAAUUAUUGUAACCAUAAUUUUGUAUAAAGCCAUUUUUUUUAAACUGAGUAACCAAACUGUCUUUUAAAUAUCAUAAUAUUUUGGAUGUAAGAAAACACCUUAUACUUUUAUUGGCACUGAAUGUGCAAAUUCCUUUAUUGCUGUAUUUUUUGUAAAGAAAAUAUUCCACAUGUAUGUCUUGUUUUCCAUAUUGUAUGUGCUGUGUACACUUCUACUUCUUCUUAAGAUGGUAAAACAAAUUAAAGGCAAUUAAGGAAGGUGCACCAAGUACUCAGUAUUACGUUGUUACAGUAUUGGAUGUUUUUCAAGCAAUUGUAGUUUUGGGGGGUUUACUUAUAUUCUUGCCCCACCUAAUUUAGUGUACAACAAAAGGUAGAUUCUCAGAUGGAACAUUUUCAUAAAAAUUCCUGACCCUGAAAAGAAUAUUACUAUUGGUUUGCUGUUGAAGGGAACACUUUAGCCUGGAACUGACUGCAGCAACCUUGUGACCUUUUGUUCUCUUAUAUUUAUAACUCAGAACAAUAUGUUGGCUUUUUACUCUUGGCAGCGGUAACACCCAGCUGUCACUUAGAUACCAAGGACUCUAAAUCCCUUAUCAUAGGUGCACCCGACCAACACUCCCCAUCUCAAAUGUACACAAUUAAACACAAAACCGUUUCAAAAGAUUUUAUUUUUUUUUUUAACAAAAAAAAAAAAAAAAAA